rnacentral:tRNA from 1 species
GUGGGCGUAGCUCAGUUGGUAGAGCACAGGAUUGUGGCUCCUGAUGUCGUGGGUUCGAGUCCCAUCGCUCACCCCA